rnacentral:ncRNA from 1 species
AGUGAUAGAGGUCGCGCGCUUCAUCAGUAGUCGGCGGGAUGUGUACAGGCACAGGGGAACGCCGGAGAAAGGGGAGAGCGCCGAAAGGGGGCAGCGCCUGGGGCUGGUUUCCUUGGGCACAGAGUGAAGAAUUCUGUGACUGUCAUCGCCGCGCGGUGGAGGGCUAUCCGG